UACGUAGGUUUCUCUCGUUCCUCGUCCUUCCUGGGCGUAAAGCGUGCGCAGGCGGUUAUGUAAGACAGAUGUGAAAUCCCCGGGGUCAACCUGGGACCUGCAUUUGUGACUGCAUAGCUAGAGUACGGUAGAGGGGGAUGGAAUUCCGCGUGUAGCAGUGAAAUGCGUAGAUAUGCGGAGGAACACCGAUGGCGAAGGCAACCCCCUGGACCUGUACUGACGCUCAUGCACGAAAGCGUGGGGAGCAAACAGG
rnacentral:rRNA from 1 species